GCAUCCGUGGUGUAGUGGUCAACAUACUCGCCUUCCAAGCGAGUGGCCCGAGUUCAAAUCUCGGCGGAUGCA